rnacentral:misc_RNA from 1 species
UCCGGUUUGUCACCGGCAGUCUCCCUAGAGUGCCCAACUUAAUGCUGGCAACUAAGGACAAGGGUUGCGCUCGUUGCGGGACUUAACCCAACAUCUCACGACACGAGCUGACGACAGCCGUGCAGCACCUGCGCAGGCUCCCUUGCGGGUCCCUUGGCUUUCACCUCAGUACCACCUACACGUCAAGUCCGGGUAAGGUUCUUCGCGUUGCAUCGAAUUAAACCACACGCUCCGCUGCUUGUGCGGGCCCCCGUCAAUUCCUUUGAGUUUUAGCCUUGCGGCCGUAGUCCCCAGGCGGGGUGCUUAUUGCGUUAGCGACGGCACCGGAGGGGUCGAUACCCCCGACACCUAGCACCCAUCGUUUACAGCGUGGACUAC